AUUGAACGCUGGCGGCAGGCCUAACACAUGCAAGUCGAGCGGGGUUUUCGGACCUAGCGGCGGACGGGUGAGUAAUGCGUAGGAAGCUACCCGAUAGAGGGGGAUACCAGUUGGAAACGACUGUUAAUACCGCAUAAUGUCUACGGACCAAAGUGUGGGACCUUCGGGCCACAUGCUAUCGGAUGCGCCUACGUGGGAUUAGCUAGUUGGUGAGGUAAUGGCUCACCAAGGCGACGAUCCCUAGCUGGUUUGAGAGGAUGAUCAGCCACACUGGAACUGAGACACGGUCCAGACUCCUACGGGAGGCAGCAGUGGGGAAUAUUGGACAAUGGGCGCAAGCCUGAUCCAGCCAUGCCGCGUGUGUGAAGAAGGCCUUCGGGUUGUAAAGCACUUUCAGUAGGGAGGAAGCGUUGUGUGUUAAUAGUACACAGCGUUGACGUUACCUACAGAAGAAGCACCGGCUAACUCUGUGCCAGCAGCCGCGGUAAAAC
rnacentral:rRNA from 1 species